GACUUUGUUCUGUGACUGCGUACCUUUUGUAUAAUGGGUCAGCGACUUAUUUUCAGUGGCGAGCUUAACCGAAUAGGGGAGGCGUAGCGAAAGCGAGUCUUAAUAGGGCGUCUAGUCGCUGGGAAUAGACCCGAAACCGGGCGAUCUAUCCAUGGGCAGGUUGAAGGUUGGGUAACACUAACUGGAGGACCGAACCGACUACCGUUGAAAAGUUAGCGGAUGACCUGUGGAUCGGAGUGAAAGGCUAAUCAAGCUCGGAGAUAGCUGGUUCUCCUCGAAAGCUAUUUAGGUAGCGCCUCAUGUAUCACUGUAGGGGGUAGAGCACUGUUU
rnacentral:rRNA from 1 species